rnacentral:rRNA from 1 species
CCUACGGGGGGCUGCAGUGAGGAAUAUUGGUCAAUGGGCGAGAGCCUGACCCAGCCAAGUCGCGUGAGGGAUGAAGGAUCUAUGGUUUGUAAACUUCUUUUAUGUGGGAAUAAAGUGAGGAACGUGUUCCUUUUUGUAUGUGCCAUAUGAAUAAGCAUCGGCUAACUCCGUGCCAGCAGCCGCGGUAAGACGGAGGAUGCGAGCGUUAUCCGGAUGUAUUGGGUGUAAAGGGUGCGUAGGUGGUUAAUUAAGUCAGCGGUGAAAGUUUGUGGCUCAACCAUAAAAUUGCCGUUGAAACUGGUUGACUUGAGUAUAGUAGAGGUAGGCGGAAUGCGUGGUGUAGCGGUGAAAUGCAUAGAUAUCACGAAGAACACCGAUUGCGAAGGCAGCUUACUAAACUAUAACUGACACUGAAGCACGAAAGCGUGGGGAUCAAACAGGAUUAGAUACCCUUGUAGUC